rnacentral:rRNA from 1 species
GACGAACGCUGGCGGCGUGCCUAAUACAUGCAAGUCGAACGAAGCUGUUUUAACUGGUGCUUGCACCGACUUAAACAACUGAGUGGCGAACGGGUGAGUAACACGUGGGUAACCUGCCCCGAAGCGGGGGAUAACAUUUGGAAACAGAUGCUAAUACCGCAUAACCACAGAAACCACAUGGUUUCUGUGUCAAAGAUGGUUUCGGCUAUCACUUUGGGAUGGACCCGCGGCGUAUUAGCUAGUUGGUAAGGUAAUGGCUUACCAAGGCAAUGAUACGUAGCCGAACUGAGAGGUUGAUCGGCCACAUUGGGACUGAGACACGGCCCAAACUCCUACGGGAGGCAGCAGUAGGGAAUCUUCCACAAUGGACGAAAGUCUGAUGGAGCAACGCCGCGUGAGUGAAGAAGGUUUUCGGAUCGUAAAACUCUGUUGUCAGAGAAGAACGUGUGCGAGAGUAACUGCUCGUGCAGUGACGGUAUCUGGCCAGAAAGCCACGGCUAACUACGUGCCAGCAGUCGCAGUAA